rnacentral:rRNA from 1 species
UACAGAGGGUGCGAGCGUUAAUCGGAAUUACUGGGCGUAAAGGGUGCGUAGGUGGCUAAAUAAGUUAGGUGUGAAAUUCCUGGGCUCAACUUGGGGACUGCGCCUAAUACUGUUUGGCUAGAGUACUGUAGAGGGAAGUGGAAUUUCCGGUGUAGCGGUGAAAUGCGUAGAUAUCGGAAGGAACAUCAGUGGCGAAGGCGAUUUUCUGGACAGAUACUGACACUGAGGCACGAAAGCGUGGGGAGCAAACAGG